rnacentral:pre_miRNA from 1 species
AGUGGGAUAGAUAGGUCAAAUGGUGGAUACAUUCCAAGUUUUCUGAGGAAUCACCAUACUACUUUCCAUAGUAGUUGUACCAAUUUGCAGUCCCACCAGCAAU